rnacentral:rRNA from 1 species
AAAAACUGAGGUAGUAUAAGAUGGACCCGCGUCUGAUUAGCUAGUUGGUGGGGUAACGGCCUACCAAGGCGACGAUCAGUAGCCGGCCUGAGAGGGUGACCGGCCACAUUGGGACUGAGACACGGCCCAAACUCCUACGGGAGGCAGCAGUGGGGAAUAUUGCACAAUGGGGGAAACCCUGAUGCAGCGACGCCGCGUGAGUGAAGAAGUAUUUCGGUAUGUAAAGCUCUAUCAGCAGGGAAGAAAAAAGACGGUACCUGACUAAGAAGCCCCGGCUAACUACGUGCCAGCAGCCGCGGUAAUACGUAGGGGGCAAGCGUUAUCCGGAUUUACUGGGUGUAAAGGGAGCGUAGACGGUAUGGCAAGUCUGAAGUGAAAGCCCAGGGCUUAACCCUGGGACUGCUUUGGAAACUGUUAGACUAGAGUGCUGGAGAGGUAAGUGGAAUUCCUAGUGUAGCGGUGAAAUGCGUAGAUAUUAGGAGGAACACCAGUGGCGAAGGCGGCUUACUGGACAGUAACUGACGUUGAGGCUCGAAAGCGUGGGGAGCAAACAGGAUUAGAUACCCUGGUAGUCCACGCUGUAAACGAUGAAUACUAGGUGUUGGCGGGCAAAGC